rnacentral:rRNA from 1 species
AAUGAACGUUGGCGGCAUGGAUUAGGCAUGCAAGUCGAGCGCUCGUAGCAAUACGAGAGCGGCGAACGGCGUAGUAAUGUGUAGGAACGUGCCCUCUGGCCGGGGAUAGCUACGGGAAACUGUAGGUAAUACCCGAUGAUCUCUGCGGAGCAAAGGUGUGAUUCCGCCGGAGGAGCGGCUUACAUGCUAUUAGCUAGUUGGUGGGGUAAUGGCCCACCAAGGCGAUGAUGUCUAGGGGGUGUGAGAGCAUGGCCCCCACGACCGGAACUGAGAUACUGUCCGGACACCUACGGGUGGCUGCAGUCGAGAAUCUUCCGCAAUGGACGAAAGUCUGACGGAGCGAUGCCGCGUGCGGGAUGAAGGCCCUUGGGUUGUAAACCGCUGUCAGAGGGGAUGAAAUCUCCAGAGGUUCUCCUUCGGAGUUGACAGAGCCUCAGAGGAAGCACGGGCUAAGUAUGUGCCAGCAGCCGCGGUAACAC